rnacentral:misc_RNA from 1 species
GAAAUGCGAUAAGUAAUGUGAAUUGCAGAAUUCAGUGAAUCAUCGAAUCUUUGAACGCACCUUGCACCCUUUGGUAUUCCGAAGGGUACGCCCGUUUGAGUGUCGUUGUACUCUCAAUCCUACACUUUAUUGUUGUACGGAUUGGACUUGGGUCCUGUUGCGCUCUGCAACUGAUCCGAAAUGUAUCAGCGUGUGUCCGUCGUGACGAUGAACCGAUUGUUAAGUUUCAUCGGGCUCGCUUUGUCGAGGUCGUCUGACGAAACCACAUGCCUAACCCCCUUUACUUUUGACAAUUCGACCUCAAAUCGGGUGGGAUCACCCGCUGAACUUAA